AGAGUUUGAUCAUGGCUCAGGACGAACGCUGGCGGCGCGCUUAAUACAUGCAAGUCGAGCGAGAACCUAGGCUUCGGCCUAGGGGACAGCGGCGAACGGGUGAGUAACACGUGGGUAAUCAACCCCCGACACCGGGAUAGCCCAGGGAAACUUGGAUUAAUACCGGAUACCCCAUCUGGCUUUCGAGCCGGCUGGAAAAGGGUAGCUUCGGCCUCCGGUCGGGGACGAGCCCGCGGCGGAUUAGCUUGUUGGUGAGGUAAAGGCUCACCAAGGCGACGAUCCGUAGCUGGUCUGAGAGGACGAUCAGCCACACUGGGACUGAGACACGGCCCAGACUCCUACGGGAGGCAGCAGUAGGGAAUCUUGCGCAAUGGGCGAAAGCCUGACGCAGCGACGCCGCGUGAGGGAAGAAGGCCUUCGGGUUGUAAACCUCUUUCAGGAGGGACGAAGCCACUCGGGUUAAUAGCCUAGAGGGUGACGGUACCUCCAGAAGAAGCCCCGGCUAACUACGUGCCAGCAGCCGCGGUAAUACGUAGGGGGCAAGCGUUGUCCGGAUUUAUUGGGCGUAAAGAGCGUGUAGGCGGCCUUACAGGUCAGCUGUGAAAACUCGAGGCUCAACCUCGAGACGUCGGUUGAAACCGUAUGGCUAGAGUCCGGAAGAGGAGAGUGGAAUUCCCGGUGUAGCGGUGAAAUGCGCAGAUAUCGGGAAGAACACCCGUGGCGAAGGCGGCUCUCUGGGACGGUACUGACGCUGAGACGCGAAAGCGUGGGGGCAAACAGGAUUAGAUACCCUAGUAGUCC
rnacentral:rRNA from 1 species